GAUGAAGAACGUAGCGAAAUGCGAUAAGUAAUGCGAAUUGCAGAAUUCAGUGAAUCAUCGAAACUUUGAACGCACAUUGCGCCCGCCAGUAUUCUGGCGGGCAUGCCUGUCUGAGCGUCGUUUCGACCCUCGCGCCCGGCUUCUGUCGGGGGCGGUGUUGGGGAUCGGCCACACCCUUCAGUGGGAGGCCGGCCCCUAAAUUCAGUGGCGACCACGCUGUAGCCUCCCCUGCGUAGUACUAAAACCACCUCGCAGGCGGAGAGCGGUGCGGCCCGCCGUAAAACCCCCCAACUUUUACAAGGUCGACCUCAGAUCAGGUAGGAAUACCCGCUGAACUUAAGCAUAUCAAUAAGCGGAGGA
rnacentral:misc_RNA from 1 species